UGCGCUGCUUCUUUUAAGUCUUGUCCUCCAUUGGUUCGGGUGGUUCCUGCUAUAGUAAUUCCCAUAACAUGCAACUCAUAUCCCAGGCUGCAACAACGUGAAG